CCUGGCGGCCUUAGCGCGGUGGUCCCACCUGACCCCAUGCCGAACUCAGAAGUGAAACGCCGUAGCGCCGAUGGUAGUGUGGGGUA
rnacentral:rRNA from 1 species